AUCGAACGCUGGCGGCAGGCCUAACACAUGCAAGUCGAACGAGUGGCGGACGGGUGAGUAAUGUCUGGGAAAAUGCCUGAUGGAGGGGGAUAACUACUGGAAACGGUAGCUAAUACCGCAUACAAUCAGAUGUGCCCAGAUGGGAUUAGCUUGUUGGUGGGGUAACGGCUCACCAAGGCGACGAUCCCUAGCUGGGUUGAGAGGAUGACCGGCCACACUGGGACUGAGACACGGUCCAGACUCCGACGGGAGGCAGCAGUGGGGAAUAUUGCACAAUGGGCGCAAGCCUGAUGGAGCCAUGCCGCGUGUAUGAAGAAGGCCUUCGGGUUGUAAAGUACUUUCAGCGGGGAGGCGUUACCCGCAGAGGAAGCACCGGCUAACUCCGUGCCAGCAGCCGCGGUAAUUC
rnacentral:rRNA from 1 species